rnacentral:rRNA from 1 species
UACAACGAAGAGUUUGAUCCUGGCUCAGGAUGAACGCUAGCGGCAGGCUUAAUACAUGCAAGUCGAGGGGCAGCAUAAAGUACUUGUACUUUGAUGGCGACCGGCGAACGGGUGCGUAACGCGUAUGCAACUUACCUUUUACUAGAGAAUAGCCAAGAGAAAUUUUGAUUAAUGCUCUAUACACUUCUUAACUCAUAUGAGUUUUUAAGAAAAGCUCCGGCGGUAAAAGAUGGGCAUGCGUCCUAUUAGCUAGUAGGUGAGGUAAAAGCUCACCUAUGCUACGAUAG